UAAGGACGUGUGGCGACGCCUGCGGGCCACGUUUCUUUUUCUUUCUCCUUUUCCAAACUAUGAUGUGUUUACUAAAAAAAGCUCUGUGCCUGGUGAAAAUGCAGUAGGCGUAGGCUGUGAUUCUUUGCGCGUGAACAGCUCACAACUGUCAAGGCAUACUGUCACCGUAACAUCCUGUGCCUGUGUGCAAAAAGGGUUGGAAGAGAGUGGGAACAGACGUGAUCUCGUGCUCAGACUCGACGGCGCGUUCCUGACCGACGGCGAACUCUGCCAUGAAGGUGCUAUUUAGUUAUGGUGGGCGAAAAGCGGUAGUGUCAGGGGGGAGCUGACAUCACCACAGUGGAAGACACAAUUGGUGCCGCUGCCGCGCUACUGAGCAUACCAGAGGAAGAACUAAAGAAGAGACCAACGACAGUCAUGCAUACUGCAUGCAACGAAUCUAUAGCAGUGAAGAUUAUAACACGUUACGGCGAAAGAACGGCGGUGGUGUCCUGCGAUGGCAACUCAACGGUACUCCGCCUAAGGGAAGAUGAACUAAUGUGCUAGCACCUCACAAUCUACGACGACGACGACUUUGACACCUGUGUGGAAACAGCAGAAGCUGGUAGUUUUCGUGGCUGUAUAGCUCCCACCGUGGUUCUCUUUACUACGAACUUGCCAUUUGUACGCCUUCGUGACACUUUUUGUUCGUUCAGAUUAGGGAAGAAUGCAAUGCGCUCACAGGGACUGUCUUUGAAACUGCCUUGGACAGAGUUCUGCAGGACAUUUCGGAAGCGGCUUUGAGGUACAGUCGAAAGAAGCGCCAACUGGAAGCGUUCUUUGAAGCCUUUAGAGUCUGAACAUGGUGACGGUAAGAUGAUUUGUCCUCCGAGAGUCGAGAUAGUCUACAGGUAGUUCGGACGUUUCACGGCUUUGUGGCUUCCAUAGCGCAUAUGCAUUGCGACACAUGCAGGGUGUUUCUGUUUAAUUCUUGUGUAAUAUCGGGUGAAUAUUCAUAUUGUGAUUAUAUAUAUGUGCAGCAAUGAUAGUCACACUCCUUGUGGUCCUCAGUCUGGCACAUGAAAGGUCCUUCAUCACGCCCCAGGUGGGUUCUUAUUGUACAUAGCAAAAGGUUUUGUUAUGUAUCUAUGGAAACGAGCUUUGCAUUUUUCGUACUUUAUUACUGGUGUCUCCAGAGAAGAUAACGUCCUGCUGAAAAUACUUGGGAGAUUUUGUCUAUGUAUUCUGGUAACUUUCUACGUAAAGAAUGAACAUGUCUGUCAUCUGGUGUGUUUUCCCGGGAAGUAUUCCAUCCGGAGCGAACGCUGUUAUACCUGGAGAAAGAGACCCUUAGGGUGUCCAGCUUGAAGGAGCCUGUGAGGACCCUCGUCGUGCUUUACUGGUUAUGGACAUAGAAUUGAUGCCCAAGUCCCCUUCUACACUGCAAGUGCUCUACAAAUUAAUGAAUGUACCCCUCGCAUUGGUGAGCCCAUGUGAUAAAGCUGUUGUGUCUUGAUUGGAAUAGAUUGUGCAAAAUAAAGAUUUGUAAUUUGUAACAGC